UAUUGCACAAUGGGGGAAACCCUGAUGCAGCAACGCCGCGUGAGUGAAGAAGAACUUCGGUAUGUAAAGCUCUAUCAGCAGGGAAGAAAGUGACGGUACUUGACUAAGAAGCCCCGGCUAACUACGUGCCAGCAGCCGCGGUAAUACGUAGGGGGCAAGCGUUAUCCGGAUUUACUGGGUGUAAAGGGAGCGUAGACGGCACAGCAAGUCUGAAGUGAAAUCCCCGGGCUCAACCCGGGAACUGCUUUGGAAACUGUUGGGCUAGAGUGCUGGAGAGGCAAGCGGAAUUCCUAGUGUAGCGGUGAAAUGCGUAGAUAUUAGGAGGAACACCAGUGGCGAAGGCGGCUUGCUGGACAGUAACUGACGUUGAGGCUCGAAAGCGUGGGGAGCAAACAGG
rnacentral:rRNA from 1 species